GCAAGUCGAACGGUAGCAGGAAGUGCUUGCACUUCGCUGACGAGUGGCGGACGGGUGAGUAAUACUUAGGGAUCUGCCCUUUGGUGGGGGAUAACCAUUGGAAACGAUGGCUAAUACCGCAUAUUGCCUACGGGCAAAAGGGGGGUGUUCUUUUAUUAGAGCUACCUCUCGCCAGAGGAGGAACCUAAGCGAGAUUAGCUAGUUGGUGAGGUAAAGGCUCACCAAGGCGACGAUCUCUAGCUGUUCUGAGAGGAAGAUC
rnacentral:rRNA from 1 species